CCUACGGGAGGCAGCAGUGGGGAAUAUUGCUCAAUGGGCGAGAGCCUGAACCAGCCACGUCGCGUGAAGGAUGACUGCCUUACGGGCUGUAACCUUUUUUUAUAAGGGAAUAAAGUGAGGCACGUGUGCCUUUUUGUAUGUACUUUAUGUAUAAGGCACGGCUAACUCCGUGCCAGCAGCCGCGGUAAUACGGUGGAUCCGAGCGUUAUCCGGAUUUAUUGGGUUUAAAGGGAGCGUAGAUGGGUUGUUAAGUCAGUUGUGAAAGUUUGCGGCUCAACCGUAAAAGUGCAAUUGAUACUGGCAGUCUUGAGUACAGUUGAGGUAAGCGGAAUUCGUGGUGUAGCGGUGAAAUGCGUAGAUAUCACGAAGAACACCAAUGGCGAAGGCAGCUUACUAAACUGCCACUGACAUUGAUGCGCGAAAGUGUGGGUAGCAAACAGGAUUAGAUACCCCAGUAGUC
rnacentral:rRNA from 1 species